AUUGAACGCUGGCGGCAGGCCUAACGCAUGCAAGUCGAGCGGAUGAAGGGAGCUUGCUCCUGGAUUCAGCGGCGGACGGGUGAGUAAUGCCUAGGAAUCUGCCUGGUAGUGGGGGAUAACGUCCGGAAACGGGCGCUAAUACCGCAUACGUCCUGAGGGAGAAAGUGGGGGAUCUUCGGACCUCACGCUAUCAGAUGAGCCUAGGUCGGAUUAGCUAGUUGGUGGGGUAAAGGCCUACCAAGGCGACGAUCCGUAACUGGUCUGAGAGGAUGAUCAGUCACACUGGAACUGAGACACGGUCCAGACUCCUACGGGAGGCAGCAGUGGGGAAUAUUGGACAAUGGGCGAAAGCCUGAUCCAGCCAUGCCGCGUGUGUGAAGAAGGUCUUCGGAUUGUAAAGCACUUUAAGUGGGGAGGAAGGGCAGUAAGUUAAUACCUUGCUGUUUUGACGUUACCAACAGAAUAAGCACCGGCUAACUUCGUG
rnacentral:rRNA from 1 species